UAGGGAAUCUUCGGCAAUGGACGAAAGUCUGACCGAGCAACGCCGCGUGAGUGAAGAAGGUUUUCGGAUCGUAAAACUCUGUUGUUAGAGAAGAACAAGGACGUUAGUAACUGAACGUCCCCUGACGGUAUCUAACCAGAAAGCCACGGCUAACUACGUGCCAGCAGCCGCGGUAAUACGUAGGUGGCAAGCGUUGUCCGGAUUUAUUGGGCGUAAAGCGAGCGCAGGCGGUUUCUUAAGUCUGAUGUGAAAGCCCCCGGCUCAACCGGGGAGGGUCAUUGGACUCUGGGGGACUAGAGUGCAGAAGAGGAGAGUGGAAUUCCAUGUGUAGCGGUGAUGUGCGUAGAUAUAUGGAGGAACACCAGUGGCGAAGGCUGCUCUCUGGUCUGUAUCUGACGCUGAGGCUCGAGAGCGUGGAGAGCAAACAAG
rnacentral:rRNA from 1 species